rnacentral:rRNA from 1 species
CCUACGGGUGGCUGCAGUGAGGAAUAUUGGUCAAUGGACGAGAGUCUGAACGAGCAAAGUAGCGUGAAGGAUGACUGCCCUAUGGGUUGUAAACUUCGUUUCUGAGGGACGAAGAAAGUGACGGUACCUCAGGAAUAAGCGACGGCUAACUAGGUGCCAGCAGCCGCGGUAAUACGGGGGAUGCAAGCGUUAUCCGGAUUUAUGGGGUUUAAAGGGUGCGUAGGGGGGUGUUUAAGUCAGCGGGAAAAUGUCCGGGCUCAACCCGGGCCGGCCGUUGAAACUGGGGAUCUUGAGUGGGCGAGAAGUAUGCGGAACGCGGUGUGUAGCGGUGAAAUGCAUAGAUAUCACGCAGAACUCCGAUUGCGAAGGCAGCAUACCGGCGCCCGACUGACGCUGAGGCACGAAAGCGUGGGGAUCGAACAGGAUUAGAUACCCCGGUAGUC